rnacentral:pre_miRNA from 1 species
UGUUAAAAGUUUCAUCUUUUUGAAUAAAAAUUAGCGUGAUUGAUAGAAUAAUAAGACAAAAACGCUGGGCGUGUCACGUGUACCUCAUGUCGCGACAUACAAUGACAAAUUUUUAACAGUAGAAAUAGAUAAUUUUUUUAGCA